rnacentral:rRNA from 1 species
UACGAAGGGGGCUAGCGUUGUUCGGAAUUACUGGGCGUAAAGGGCGCGUAGGCGGCUUGACGAGUCAGGCGUGAAAGUCCCGGGCUUAACCUGGGGACUGCGUUUGAUACUGUUGAGCUUGAAUGUGAGAGAGGAUGGCGGAACUCCCAGUGUAGAGGUGAAAUUCGUAGAUAUUGGGAAGAACACCGGUGGCGAAGGCGGCCAUCUGGCUCAUGAUUGACGCUGAGGCGCGAAAGCGUGGGGAGCAAACAGG